GACGGGCCACACUCUAGGGGAGCCAGUAGCCCUGCACACAGGCAAAUGGCCGGAAUGGAUUUCUUUGCAGGAAACGGAAAAGGCAGGGAACCUCCAGAGCCCUCACUCCCUGCAGGCCCCCAGGUGUCUCCUGGGGACCUGGUGUGCCUUGGGCGUCACUGCUGCCCUGGCCCGUGCUCAGAUGCAGCAGGACGGCUCUCCCAGGAAGCGGCUAUGCUGGGAGCCAGGAGCUGAGGGCCUGCAUGCGCGGCCCCCUCCUCACUCUGUCGGCCAAACUCCCAUGCGGAGGAGGACUUGGGUUUUGGCUGACAUGAGGCUUCUUCUGGGGUGUGCCCUGAACCCCCAGAUGGUAAGGUACUGUGCCCUGGGUCUUGCACUGUUGUAAUAAUGUAGCUUCUGUCUUUGUUUGCUCUGGGCUCGCUGCUCUGGGCCUAUUCUGUCUCCUCCGCUGCCACCAAGUGUCCUAAGGACAGGGACCGUGUCCCCAGGUACUUCUGCCUCCCAGCCCCUGGCAGGGAGUAGACCCUCACCAAAUACUGUACAGGCACACCUCGUUUUAUCACACUUUGCUUUAUUGUGCUUCGCAGAUGUUGCAUUUUUUACAAAAUAAAGGUUUGUAGCAACCCUAUAGGUGCCAUUUUUCCAACAACACUUGCUCACUUUGCAUCUCUGCAUCAUAUUCUCGUAAUUUUCACAAUAUCUCAAACUUUUUCAUUAUUAUAUUUGUUACAGUGACCUAUGAUCAGUGAUCUUUGAUGUUACUGUUGCAAGAAGAUUAACAACUCACUGAAGGCUCAGAUGAUAGCACUUUUUAGCAGGAAAGUACUUUGAAAUCAAGUCGUCUGGAACCGAACCUGCAACAUCUCCAAGGUGUGCCUGUAUUUGUGGAGUGCGUGAAAACAUGUCUCCAAAGAAUAAUGGAACAGUCACAGGAGUUUUGUAGCAUCUGAGGAGGCUCCACAGCCACGCCCAG